ACACUCCUACGGGAGGCAGCAGUGGGGAAUAUUGGACAAUGGGCGCAAGCCUGAUCCAGCCAUGCCGCGUGAGUGAUGAAGGCCCUAGGGUUGUAAAGCUCUUUCACCGGUGAAGAUAAUGACGGUAACCGGAGAAGAAGCCCCGGCUAACUUCGUGCCAGCAGCCGCGGUAAUACGAAGGGGGCUAGCGUUGUUCGGAUUUACUGGGCGUAAAGCGCACGUAGGCGGACUAUUAAGUCAGGGGUGAAAUCCCGGGGCUCAACCCCGGAACUGCCUUUGAUACUGGUAGUCUUGAGUUCGAGAGAGGUGAGUGGAAUUCCGAGUGUAGAGGUGAAAGUCGUAGAUAUUCGGAGGAACACCAGUGGCGAAGGCGGCUCACUGGCUCGAUACUGACGCUGAGGUGCGAAAGCGUGGGGAGCAAACAGGAUUAGAAACCCUUGUAGUCCCAUGA
rnacentral:rRNA from 1 species